AUUGAACGCUGGCGGCAGGCCUAACACAUGCAAGUCGAGCGAGCGGCGGACGGGUGAGUAAUGUCUGGGAAACUGCCUGAUGGAGGGGGAUAACUACUGGAAACGGUAGCUAAUACCGCAUACCAUCAGAUUUGCCCAGAUGGGAUUAGCUAGUCGGUGGGGUAACGGCCCACCUAGGCGACGAUCCCUAGCUGGUUGGAGAGGAUGACCAGCCAAACUGGAACGGAGACACGGUCCAGACUCCUACGGGAGGCAGCAGUGGGGAAUAUUGCACAAUGGGCGCAAGCCGGAUGCAGCAAUGCCGGGUGUGUGAAGAAGGCCUGCGGGUUGUAAAGCACUUUCAGCGGGGAGGCGUUACCCGCAGAAGAAGCAACGGCUAACUCCGUGCCAGCAGCCGCGGUAAUAC
rnacentral:rRNA from 1 species